ACAAUUUGUACCGAUUAAAAUGUAUAAAACCGUGAGCGAGCGCAAAAUAUGCUUCUAUCAUAAAACGUGUCCGAAGCUGAAACGUUGGGACCGAUAUCAUCGCGAAUUAAUGAUCGAAACUUCGAGUACGUGGUGUCCACGCGUUCGAGGAAAUAGGUCAAAAAAGAAUAAUGUGCUCUCGAGUACACACGGAGCAUUUGAAAUUUACAUCGUAUAUUUGAGGACGCGUAUUCGCGGUACACAACAAUGAAAAAGAAAAAAAGGAGGGCAAUAAAAAUUACAUUUGCCGUGGAGCCUCGUCGUACGAGGAAAGACACGUUCUCUACGGCUUUAAAGCACGAUACGAAUUUAGAUCACCAAUAUCGAAGAGUUGAACGCUCUAAUUAAGAACUCGGGCAGAGGAGCGUGCAUGCGCUUACGUACGAACCGUACCCCUCUUCCUUGCGUCUGCCUUGCGCGUCGCAACGACGAGGAACGAGUAGAGAUGGCCGUCCCUCGUAAGCUCGUCGAGCUCAUUAGACCCUCUUGCUCGUGCUUUAUUUUCUUUUUUCUUUUUUUUUUUUUUUCUAUUCUUCCUUUUUUUUUCCUCUCCUUCCCCCGAGGUCACGGCAUUAGAAGGUAGGAGGCUUCGGCUUAACUUCGUAAACUUUCCUAAUCGACGUAAUCGUUCCGUCGAGCUAACUUUUACAAAGAAAUCUAUUCUAACCGGAUUGCGUCGUCCUAUCUGCUUUGACACCGUCACCUUUUUCAUCGUCCUAUUCGUCUACGCUUCUAAUGCACUUAUCAUGAACACGAAAAUUACGUUCUUUCAUGGAAACUGAAACAUAUCGCUCAGCGUUUCUUGCGUUUUAGAUUUCAUUUUCUACCUACCAUUCGUCUAUCUGACUUAUCGUCCUUGUCUUUUCGCUUAAAUAUUGCACUAAUUGCGAUUAAAUCGCAAUUCUCUUAAAUCUCGCGAACUAUCGUCAAAAGUAAAUGCCGAUCUAUCAGUUUUUAACCAUUCUUCUAUAAUAUAAGAUGUUUAAUGGCAACACUUAAUUCGGCGAAAAGGUUAAUUGACGUCGAGACGAACGAUUCGUAGAAUCGUUGACCUUGAUUAUAAAGCAAAGAACGGGACAAGAGAGAAUAGGUAAAAAAAGAAAAUAAACAGAUUAGAUUCGGGCUUGGCCGAGUCUUCAUCGGGAAAGGAACGAAGCCGGAUGUAAGCCGCCAGAGUACACACAAGCUCGCCUAUACAUUCUAACAAACGAAGAAGGAGGAGGACGUUCUUCAAUCGACGCGACGUUGUCAUCGAACGAAGAGGAAAGAUGGAUGAUCAUUUUUAUGGUGAAACGUGUCUUCGCGUUUUCUGUGUACGCGCAAAUUUGAAUACAUUCGUACUAAUUAGAAUAGAAUUAAUUUACGCAAACGUAAUUAACGAUAAGGUAGCACGCUUAUUAGCUUCUUGUUUGAAAUUCUAAAACUAUCGAAAGAACUCGUAGAACCAGCCGGCGAACUUUAUUAUCUCCAGCUACCGAACGUAAGAUACGAAAGUCAUUAUUGCGAGCAGGAUGAGAAGAAGAAGAAGAAGAAGAAGAAGAAGGAGAUGAACGGAGUGCGGCCUCAAUUGAAAAAUAUUACUUUUCCGGACGCGGAACGACGAGGGGAAAAAAAUUAAAUCGCAUCGACCUUUCUUAAUUACCUUUUGCGGUAUUAUGCGAGAAAAAGAGGACAGGGGAAAAGAAAAAAAGGGGAGUGGAAAAGGGAAAAGGGAAUUAAUCUCACCUUCCCUUCUACCUCUUUUUCUGAACGUUGCAAACGCGAAAAGAUAUAUCUCGGUCGUUUUAUCGAACCGCUGCGGCCCAUCGUUCCUCUCUCUCUCUCUCUCUCUCUCUCUCUCUCCUCCGUCUUUAUUAUAAUAAUAGUCUGAAUAGUAGUAGCGAGUCGAACGGUUUCUAUCUUUAGAAUUGUUUCGCGUAAAACGUUUAACGUUUUCGCGUAAUGUCUACCAUUUAUAUUACUGAAUAUCAUUCCACUAUCGAGAACAAUGGACGCAGCAGCCAACGCUCUAGCCAUCUUAUUUAAGCUCGAACGAGCGACCUUUUCAACGAAUAGUAAAUCAAGCCGCUGACAGGAAAA